rnacentral:rRNA from 1 species
AUUGAACGCUGGCGGCAGGCCUAACACAUGCAAGUCGAGCGGAUGAAGGGAGCUUGCUCCUGGAUUCAGCGGCGGACGGGUGAGGAAUGCCUAGGAAUCUGCCUGGUAGUGGGGGAUAACGUCCGGAAACGGGCGCUAAUACCGCAUACGUCCUGAGGGAGAAAGUGGGGGAUCUUCGGACCUCACGCUAUCAGAUGAGCCUAGGGCGGAUUAGCUAGUUGGUGGGGUAAAGGCCUACCAAGGCGACGAUCCGUAACUGGUCUGAGAGGAUGAUCAGUCACACUGGAACUGAGACACGGUCCAGACUCCUACGGGAGGCAGCAGUGGGGAAUAUUGGACAAUGGGCGAAAGCCUGAUCCAGCCAUGACGCGUGUGUGAAGAAGGUCUUCGGAUUGUAAAGCACUUUAAGUUGGGAGGAAGGGCAGUAAGUUAAUACCUUGCUGUUUUGACGUUACCAACAGAAUAAGCACCGGCUAACUUCGUG